CCAAUAGCGUAUAUUAAAGUUGUUGCAGUUAAAAAGCUCGUAGUUGAAUUUCGGGAUCAAUUUAUUGGUCGUGCUAUUGUACGUACUGGUAUUAUUGAUUUCUACCUUCUGACGAACCAUGAUGUCAUUAAUUUGGUGUCAUGGGGAAUCAGGACUGUUACUUUGAAAAAAUUAGAGUGUUUAAAGCAGGCUCACGCUUGAAUACAUUAGCAUGGAAUAACGAAAUAGGACGUUUGAUUCUAUUUUGUUGGUUUCUAGGAUCGACGUAAUGGUUAAUAGGGAUAGUUGGGGGCAUUAGUAUUCAAUUGUCAGAGGUGAAAUUCUUGGAUUUAUUGAAGACUAACUACUGCGAAAGCAUUUGCCAAGGAUGUUUUCAUUAAUCAAGAACGAAAGUUAGGGGAUCGAAGACGAUCAGAUACCGUCGUAGUCUUAACCAUAAACUAUGCCGACUAGGGAUCGGAUGAUGUUAAUUUUUUAAUGACUCAUUCGGCGCCUUACG
rnacentral:rRNA from 1 species